rnacentral:rRNA from 1 species
CCUACGGGAGGCUGCAGUGGGGAAUAUUGCACAAUGGGGGAAACCCUGAUGCAGCGACGCCGCGUGAGUGAAGAAGUAUUUCGGUAUGUAAAGCUCUAUCAGCAGGGAAGAAAAUGACGGUACCUGAUUAAGAAGCCCCGGCUAACUACGUGCCAGCAGCCGCGGUAAUACGUAGGGGGCAAGCGUUAUCCGGAUUUACUGGGUGUAAAGGGAGCGUAGACGGCAGCACAAGUCUGGAGUGAAAUGCCCCCGCUCAACGGGGUGAAGUGCCAUUGAUACUGCCUUGCUGGAAUGCGGAUGCCGUGGGAGGAAUGUGUGGUGUAGCGGUGAAAUGCAUAGAUAUCACACAGAACACCGAUUGCGAAGGCAUCUCACGAAUCCGCGAUUGACGCUGAUGCACGAAAGCGUGGGUAUCAAACAGGAUUAGAUACCCGAGUAGUC